CUGGCCUGCAGCUGGGCCCGGCGCGACGCCGACAGCUGGUCCCGGUACUUCUUGCACUGCCGAGGGAGGGGACGAUUUGGUGCCACCAAAGCCCUCUCGGGAACCUGUAGGGCGCCGGGGGCCAGGUCCUGUCUGUCACCGACAGCGGCGGGAGGUUCUUUGCCAGCCCCACCAGGUCCUGCGUGCCUGCGGGGACAGCGCCAGCGGUGAGGACACCGGACAUCACCACCAGCCCCA